GCCGCCGAUCGGCACCCCCAUGACCGCCGCCUCCACCGGCGGCGGCGACGGAGGAGGCGGUGGCGGGGGCGCGUCGUCCCCGGCGGCGCCGCGGGCCAUGAAGCGCGAGCUGGCCUUCGCGCUGCAGUCCCUCUCGGAGAUCACCGCCUCCCCCGGCCGCACCCGCUCCGGCCGCUCCCUCCUCGCCUCCCCCGCCAUCCCCUCCUCGCCCGCCAAGCGGAGGAAGGCCGCCGCCAGAUCCGACCCCCCGCCCACCCCGCCCCCGGAUCUGGUCUCCCCGCCCACCCCGCCCCUCGACGCCGAGGCGCCCAAGCCCGCCCCCCACCACGCCGCCCCCCUCGAUGCUGCCCUCCUGCCGCCCCAGGUAGCUUCGGCCGUCGAUGCGGAGGUGCUGCCGCUUUUCGCUGCCACUCACCACGCCGCCGAUGGGUUACCCUUGGACGCCCUCGUAGCCACCCAAGAUGCUGCCCCGGCGCCGCGCGAGGCAGCCAGCCAAGAUGCUCCCCUGGCGCAGCCCUUGGAUGCAGAGCUGCUGCCCAAGGUCAGCCACAACGCUUCCGAGAUGCUGCCCGAGGUCAGCCACAACGCUCCCGAGGCGCCGCCCUUGGCUGCCGAGAUGCUGCCCGAGGUCAGCCACAACGCUCCCGAGGCGCCGCCCUUGGCUGCCGAGAUGCUGCCGGUGGCCAACCAAGAUGCUGCCGCCGAGGCGUCACCCAAGGCCAGCCACUCUGACGACAUCGUCAUGGUGGACGCCGAGGCGCAGCUCAAUGCUCAAGGCGACGCAGACCUCAUGGGCCCCUGCGCAUUCCCGGCGCCCAUGGAGAAGAAGAAGAAGGAAGAGGAGGGGGAUGGGUCCAAUGCUGCCGUCCCCCCUCAGCACCAAAUGGAUGCGCAUCCUGCUCCUGUAACAGAGGCUGAAUCUGCCGGCGAGGCGGCAACACAGGACACGGGAGUCGAGCCCAGCACUGCUGCUGCACAUGCAAUGCCAGACGCUGAAGAGGGUGCUAGCAUGGAAUUGGACGCACCUUUGGCUUUGCUUGAGUUCACUGCUGGAUCAAGUGGACACAGUGUACUGGACAGUGUGUUGGCUGAUACUCCUAUGGCCGCCGAGGAUGCCACCAUGCCUGCUUCCAUUGCCAUGGAUGCUGAGGAUGCCGCCACACCAGUUUCCACUGCCAAGACCGUCAAGCCUAAAAGACGCUUCACACGGUCGCUGCUUGGACUGGACAGAGAGACCGCAGCCAGUGAAAUUAUAGGAGAUGUCUCGCUUGAUUUGUCUGCAACACCAGGGAGGAGGUUCACAAGGUCACUGCUCAAGCCAAAGGUGGAGGUGCCUCCUGCCAGCAGCCCGGUUGUGCCUGAAGAGCCCGUUGAAAGCACACCAGAGACCCCUCCAUCGGUGACCAAGAUGGAGAUGAAGAUGUCCAAGAAAGUUGCCUGCCUCUCAAAGCACCCAGGCAACACCAGAGAUUUGCUCAGCACAGGACUGCUCGAGGGAAUGCCGGUUAUGUACAUCAUCCCUAAUAGCAAGAAGCCUGUGCUUAAAGGUGUGAUUGCAGGUUGCAAUAUAUGUUGCUUUUGUGUUAAGUGUGAUGGCUCCAAGGCUAUUACUACAUAUUUCUUUGAACUACAUGCUGGAAGCAGCAAAAAACACCCUGCAGAGUACAUCUACUUAGCAAAUGGUAAUAGUUUGCGGGAUGUGCUGCGUGCCUGUGAAAGUUCUCCUUUGGAUUCUCUAGAUAAAACAAUCCAGUCCUGCAUUGAUCCCAUGCUUACAAGGACCCGCACGAAUUGUCUGAACUGCAACUGUGAGCUACCUUCACAAACGGAAGAACAGUUUCUGUGCCAUCAGUGUUGCCCAGAGUCGAACCAACCUCAAGAUCCUACUUCUCCGUUGGCAUACAGCAAGAGCAGUUCCAGUCUGACUCCAAGUUCCAAGGAAUCUUUGUUGAAGAGGAUGUCGGCAAGCAAAGGCGCAAGUACCGGAAAAGUAACAACAAAGGAUACGGGGCUACACAAACUGGUAUUCAAGGUUUUGCUUGACGGUACUGAAGUAACCUACUAUGUUGAUGGGCAGAAAAUAAUCGAUGGAUACAUCAAGGAUCAAAGAAUCUACUGUAACCAUUGCAACAAAGUGGUCAGCCCCUCAGCGUUCGAAGCUCAUGCGGGUGAGGGAUCAAGACGCAAACCGUAUGACAACAUCUAUACGUCAAAUGGGGUAUCCCUGCAUGAGCUGUCGAUGAGAAUAUCAAAAGACAUGCAAUUGUCGGAACGUGAAACUGAUGAUCUGUGCAGAGAAUGUGGUCUAGGAGGGGAUAUUUUCCCUUGCAAAAUGUGUCCAAGGUCAUUUCACCCAGCUUGCGUUGGGCUGCCUGGAGUUCCCUUGGAGGAGUGGUUUUGUGAUAACUGCACCAUCCUCGUUCAGAAAGAAAAGGCUUUAGCAGCAAAUAAGAAUGCCAAGGCUGCUGGGAGGCAGGCCGGAGUCGAUUCCAUUGAGCAGAUUUUGAAGAGGGCUAUUAGAAUCGUCCCAAUCUGUGAUGACCUUGGAGGAUGCGCCUUAUGCAAGAAAAAGGAUUUUAACAAUUCAGUAUUUGAUGAGCGCACUGUGAUACUCUGUGAUCAAUGCGAGAAAGAGUACCAUGUAGGAUGUUUGAGGAGCGAAUGGCAGGUCGACCUGAAGGAAUUACCAGAAGGGGAGUGGUUCUGUUGUGAUAGUUGCUCUGAGAUACGCUCCUCUUUGGACAAGAUGAUUUCUGAAGGAGCUCAGCCUUUGUCGGAGUCAGACCUUGAUAUCAUAAGGAAGAAGCACGAGUCAAAAGGUUUGAUCAUGGACACCAAUACAGAGAUCAGAUGGCAAUUGGUUGCUGGUAGAAGUGCCACUGAAGAUGGCAACUCAUUGCUUUCUUCUGCUGUCCCAGUUAUUCAUCAAUCUUUUGAUCCAAUCAUCGAAGCCCAUACUGGUAGGGAUCUAAUUCCUGAGAUGGUCCACGGGAGGAGACCUAAAGAAGGAAUGCCAGGCCAAGAUUACAGUGGAAUGUACUGUGCGGUCUUAACUGUAGGUUCUACUGUCGUGUCGGCAGCACUUUUGCGUGUCAUGGGAGGUGACGUGGCCGAACUGCCACUGGUUGCUACAAGUAUGGAUCUUCAAGGACUGGGCUACUUCCAAGUGUUGUUCUCAUGCAUCGAAAGGCUGCUAGUUUCGCUGAAGGUGAAGCACUUCAUGCUUCCGGCCGCCCAUGAAGCUGAAGCCAUCUGGAUGAAGAAGUUUGGCUUCUCUAAAAUCCCUCAGGAUGAGAUGGAAGCUUAUCUUAACGGGGGACACCUCACCGUAUUCCAUGGAACCUUGAACCUGUACAAGGCCGUUCCAUUGCCUGAAUCUUAGCAUGGAUGUCGAAGCCGCCCUUUGCUGCUUAAUGGAGAUAUGCUCAUCAGACAUGUUUGUCAUUUGAGGCUCUGCUGGUAACUGUACAUAAUAAGAUGAUGAAGCAUGGCGAAAAGAUGAUAGUUACUGCAAAUCUAAAAGAGGGGAGGAUAGAAGAAAGAUACCAGAAAUGUUUGAUCCUGUGGUGAAGAUAGAUGUGGAGAUGCUGGAACAGGGGAAAUCAGUGCUUCUCUGCCAGCUUUUGUUUUUCGUUUUGUACUUUUAGUAGCGCGUUGAGCUGAGCCGCCAUGCCGAGAAGCAAGCGUUGCUGUCUUAAAAUGUAAAUGCCUGGCCGUCUCAGGAACUGCAGAAUUUUGAGGCGAGAUGUUGUCUGUUGGGUUGCGGUGGUUGAAAUUUUGAUCUGUUCAUUGGUAGGGUGGCGCGUUUGUAAGAAAGAGAGUUGGUUUCGUCGGUCUGGUUGUUGAAUUUUGAUGAGAAAUGAGGAGAGAUGUGGGGGUUGGAU
rnacentral:rRNA from 1 species